GCCUUCGUGGUGCAACGAUAGCACACUCGGCUCGUAUUCGAGAGGGCAAGGUUCGUGUCCCGGCGAGGGCA
rnacentral:tRNA from 1 species